CAGGAUUGUCAUGUAUUUUGUUCCUGAGAGUUGUACUAUGCACCUCUUAAGAGAAUCUCUCAUUCUAGUUUGAAUGUAAGAAAAGGGAUAGUACUUAGGGUUGGAAAGGACCUAAACAGAUCAUAAGGUCUGACCCGCUGCUCCAGGCAGGAACGGGUGCCGGGUCAUAUCACCCCAGCCAAAUAUCUGUCCAGCUUCCUCUUGAAGACCCCUAAGGUAUCGGUGGAUUCUUCCUCCAUGGGACCAUCUCUCUGCCUGGGGAUCGACCUACUGUUUCCAGUGGAAACUGUAGAGGAGACCGUGUUUCUUCUCACAUGUUCCCUGCUACACGUGAAGGUGCAGCUGUCCAGAAGCCCAGCUGUCAGAGUCGCAGGGCUCUGCCGUCACUCUCUGGAUGACAGAGGGGACAGAGGGGACCAUGUGCCAGCUUGCAAUAAAAAGACCUUAUAAGUGAAAGGAGAGCUCUGCAAUCAAUGUCUAAAUAUAGAUGGGAAGCAGACUCCAGGCUCAGGCAAAGUAAUUAUCCUGUCACAUCGAAGGAGAACAAAGAGAGAGUUAUACACACGGUUCAGCAUCUCCCCCGUGUUCAGCUCCCACUUUAAUCAUCACUAUCCUGUUGGCUGGCAACUGAGAAUACCUACAAAGCAGAAGCAUGUUGCCCUUAAUAGUUUGUGAUAUACUCUUAAUUGCAUUAAAACAAAUAGUGGCUGCUAAGCCACUAGGGGAGUGUAAAUGUGUCUGUGUGUCACCAACCAGCAUUCUUAAUUUACUUGGAAAAAGGAUAAUAAAUCAAACUGUCACCUGUUUUUUGAGAUGGCAAAGAAUACACUGGAGGAAUGAAAUUUAUACAUGGGAGCUCCAUAUCUGAUUCUGUUUUCUUUGCAGUUAUAAAGAUCACAGAGUGGAAAAAGAUAAGAAUCUGUUCCCUGACUUUACUGUGGUUGACUUCCAUGACGUCACCCAACAAUGCUAGAAUUCAGAGCUUGCUGGCCCCCGCUGUUGCUCACCACUCAGGUCAGGCUGCCUCGCAUAAAUCACACACAACAUUACAGAAAAACAUAUGAUGUUAACUUCCAUCGCUACUUGAGUAGAAGAGCAGAAAUUAAAAGUGGCAAAUACAACUGAUAAGCUAAAACCAAGAAGUGCUGAGAAAAAGGGGAAACGAAAAAUGCAGCAUACAGAGCAGUGGAGAAAAGAGCGAUGGUGAUCUCCAAAUCCUCACGAGCCAGAGUCUGCAGUUGUUCACAGGCUAGUCUGUACAGCCUUAUAUUUUACAAGUAGGUUUGACAGACAUAAAGACAAUAUUAAUUAAAACAAACUAAAUAUAAACACAAGACGUAAAAAUAUGACUUUUUUCUGGUUAGGGAUGUGAUUUAUUUGCAGAUAUUUCAACAAAUAUGUCAGGUGGAAAGGAAGACCAGGGAAAUAGUGGGUCUGCUGCUUAAUGAAGAAGACCUGUUAACAAAAGAUGCAGAAAAGGCUGAGUUGUGCAAUGCCUACUUUGAGCCUGUCUUUGCAAUAAAUAAAAUACCAGUAUGUAAAUUGGACCCAGAUCACUAGCAAAAUGAAUAUAAAUGUAGAAGAGUGACGUGAGACAGGUCAUGAUAAAAAGCACAUCAGAAGUUGAUGGAAUUCACUCUGGAGUUAGUGGCAAUAAUAUUUAUGAGCUUUUGGUUGACGACAUUUGUAAGCACUCUGUUCGUUGCUCCAGCAUGGAGGGGUGGGGAAGGGCUAGCCAAGCGCUAUCUUUAAGGAAGGAAAAAGGGGAGGCCUGGAGCAUUACAGACCAGUCAGCCUGACUUCAAUACCUAGCAGCAAGUAAGUAAAGCAGAUAAUAAAACAAUGUAUAAAUAAUUGGCAGGUGAAGGGGUGAUUACAAGCAAGCAGCAUGGAUUGGUUAAGAACACAUUUUGGCAAACCGACUUGAUUUCCUUUUGUGACCUAAGAGGGGAUAACUGGCCUGGCAGGAGCAGUGCUGAGAGAUUAUGGUAUAUCGCAUAAUCAAUGAGUCAGCUAUGAGAUGUCAUAAAAAAGCAAAUGCAAUUUGGGGUUUCAUGAAGAGGAACACAGUAGGUAAGGUUCGGGAUGCGGCAGUACCACUGUGCUUGAGCUGCUGAGGUGUCAGUUCUGGGCCCUGUGCUUCAGCAUGAUGUAGAGAAACUGGAGACCAUCCAAAGGCAAAUGAGACAGAUGAUAAGGUGGUUGGAAGGCCAGGCUGAGGUGUCAGUAUGUUCGUUUGGGGACGUGUUAGCACUUUGCAGCUAUUUAAAAGGCUGCCAUCAAGAGGUGAAACAACUGUUCUCCCUUGCCUCAGAGAUCAGGAAACAAAGCCACGGACUUAUACUCAAGUAAAGUCGAUUUAGAUUAAAUCUCAGAAAAAGCUUCCUAAUUAUAAGAACAAUAGCACAAUGGGACGAGCAGCCUAUGGAAGUUGCAGAAUCUCCUUCCUUGGAGGUUUUUACAAAGAAGCUGGACAGGCAUCGGUCCGAGAUGCUUUAAGAACAUGGACUAUUACAUCUGUGCAGGGGUUGGACUACAUAACCCUUGAGGACCCUUCAACCCUAUGGUUCUCUCCAUUCAUCUCUUCCUAACCAGCUCUGAAUCUCGUCUCCAGUCUCACCUUCCUUGACUUGUUUUCUGUGGAUCACUACUAGUCAGACAGUCUCUUUGUAUUUAAAAGUUACUAUUCUGGGUCUAAAGAGCUGCUGGGUAGGAUGGUCCCAUCUAGUACCAGCUGAAGCCCCUCAGAUAUCUGGCUUUCCAUACCUACUGGUUAACCACAUACCUUGGAAGAUCUAGUGGUAACUCCUCCUAUAUUCCCCAGCAG